AGAUAACCACACCUCUAGUGCUUCUAUUGGGUUAUCAACUGAUGACGUACAGAGAGUCUGGCCCUUUAAAAGUUAAGACAAAGGGAAGAUAGGGAGAUAGGAGGCAGAUGCAGGACAUAUGCAAAGGAGAGGAGAGAGGAAUUGGAAGUUUGGGGACUCCAACUCGGACAACAUCUGAGACUAAUACUCUACUCCUAAAACUCUAACACUUAGAAUUUACUGACUUUCACCAACACCUCCAUGCAGAGAGACAUCCAAAUAAGUUCCUG